rnacentral:pre_miRNA from 1 species
AGAAGUCACGAGUAAAGUACUAUUUAUGUUUUAUCAUCUCAUAACAAUAAAAAUGCUAAUUAUAAAAAAAUUUCAAAUAAGACGGACAAUCAAAAUUGGGCGCAGAAACUCAUGGCUGCGCUUAUU